UAAAUAGAUUUGAUAAGUUUAAAAAGAAUUUUGAAAAAAUUUAAUUUUUGUUUGAAAAUUAAUAAUAUAAUUACAAUACUAUAUAAAAUUUUUAUUUAGAUAGAAAAUAUUUUUAAUGUUUAAAUUUAUAUAAUUAAUGAUAGUUAAAAUUAGACAAUAAUGAUAAUUAUAGGUUAAAGUUAGUGCCAGCAACUGCGGUUACACUAUUUAUAAGAGUUAAUUUGUUAAAUUUAUAGUAAUAUAAAAUAAUAGAGAUUAAUAUAAAAAAUAAGUUUUUGAUGGUGAAAUAUAAAAAAUUUUAAAUUUAUAUUUUUUAUAAUAAAUAGAAUUAAAAAAUUUAUGUAGUAAACUAGGAUUAGAUACCCUAUUAUAAUAUAAUUUAUAGAAAAAAAAUUAAAGUACUAAAUGUUAUAUCAUUAAAUUCAAAAGAUUUGGCGGCAUUUUAUUUAAAAUUAGGGGAACUUGUUUAUUAAAUUGAUGUACCACGAUAAGAUGUAUUUACUUUAAGGUUCGUGUAUUGCUGUUUAAAGAAAAAUUUCAAGGGUUUUAUAAUACAUUGAGAUUUAUAACGAUUAUUAAUAAAAUAAUUCAAGUCAAAAUAUGGCGUAGGUAAGGUUGGAUGAGUUACAAUAAAAUAAAAUUAUAUGAAUAUUAUAAUUUAAUUUAUAGUUGAAGGUGGAUUUAAAAGUAAGAUUAAUGAAUUAAUUAAUUUGAAUAAAAUUUAAAAUGUGUACAAAUUGCCCGUCACUUCCAUGAUGAGUGGAAUAAGUCGUAACAAAGUUUAGGUACCGGAAGGUGUUUAUUGAUUUAUA
rnacentral:ncRNA from 1 species